CAUGAUUGUGAGGCAUCCCCAGCCAUGUGGAAAUCUUUUCUGGUAACUCUGGAGAAUGUAAUAUCAGAAUAAAGAAAAAUCUUUCAGGACUCUCAUGGAGAGUUGAAAUGUUCAUGAACAUCAAGCAAAACAGGAGUUAACUAAAUUCACUGAACCAAUAAAAAAACUGAAGUAAUCUUUUAAA